rnacentral:piRNA from 1 species
UCAACUGGCAGCCGGGACAACGUUGUGAC